rnacentral:lncRNA from 1 species
CUUAAAUUCUCCCCCGGGGAGGGAAGCAUGCACUGUUUCAAAUAUUUGUUUAUUGUUUAUUAAACCAUGUUUGUAUUGUUUUAUGAUAUGUUUAAAAAUAUUUGUGAGCAGAUCUUGUAAUUGUUGCUUUUGCACUAAUAAUGACAAAGCUAGUUCUGCACUAGUUGGCAAAUAUAUUUCAAAUCAGAAUCGUGAUCCUGCCUGUGACUGUAAAUUCACAUAGCUCAGAUUUCAAGGAAACCCUCCUGAUUUACAUAAGGUUGUCCCAAAUUUGAAGGAGAUCUCUUACCUUUUAUUAUGUGAAAUAUCAGAAAGUGUUAUAAACUAUAAUUCCACUGAACUGUAUUUUCAUGUAAAAUCGUCUAGGAGCUCCGAGUGUGCUUUUCAUCGCCCACAAGAGGAGGCGAAGCAGCCUGCUUCAGAGAGUGGAAAGUUUUGCCUGGUUUGGAAGACUGGUGAAGUUAAAGUUCUUGUGCCACCAGAUGCCUUGAGAAGUGAGUGGUGUCUGUACAGAGGAAUCAUCCCUGGUUAACAGAAGGAGUAGCUUUUGUGGGACAGCUACAGAUCCACAUGGAUAUCUGCAGAGCUUUACUAUGAGGGGACCUCAGAUAAUUCAGCUGAAACAAUUGUGUGGCUCUAAAGGACCUUAGCAGGAGAGUGAAACAUACUGGCACAACUCCUUUUACAACAGAAGGAAACAGAUGCAAAUCAAGCCUUUUUCUCCACCUGGGAUGCAGAAGCCAUGAACUAUAUAACAUUACAAUCCUGCCCAACGCUGAUAUGUUUUCAAAUUCAUCUGCUCUGAAAUGACAUGUCAUUCAUAAAAAACAGCAUAUAAAAG